UAACGCGUGAGGAACCUGCCUUCCAGAGGGGGACAACAGUUGGAAACGACUGCUAAUACCGCAUGAUGCGUUGGAGCCGCAUGACUCCGACGUCAAAGAUUUAUCGCUGGAAGAUGGCCUCGCGUCUGAUUAGCUGGUUGGUGAGGUAACGGCCCACCAAGGCGACGAUCAGUAGCCGGACUGAGAGGUUGGCCGGCCACAUUGGGACUGAGAUACGGCCCAGACUCCUACGGGAGGCAGCAG
rnacentral:rRNA from 1 species